GAUGAAGAACGUAGCGAAAUGCGAUAAGUAAUGUGAAUUGCAGAAUUCAGUGAAUUAUCGAAUCUUUGAACGCACAUUGCGCCCGCCAGUAUUCUGGCGGGCAUGCCUGUCCGAGCGUCAUUUCAACCCUCGAACCCCUCCGGGGGUCCGGCGUUGGGGAUCGGGAACCCCUAAGACGGGAUCCCGGCCCCGAAAUACAGUGGCGGUCUCGCCGCAGCCUCUCAUGCGCAGUAGUUUGCACAACUCGCACCGGGAGCGCGGCGCGUCCACGUCCGUAAAACACCCAACUUCUGAAAUGUUGACCUCGGAUCAGGUAGGAAUACCCGCUGAACUUAAGCAUAUCAAUAAGCGGAGGA
rnacentral:misc_RNA from 1 species